GGGCCCGUAGCUCAGCUGGAUAGAGCGGCUGACUACGGAUCAGCAGGUCGGGGGUUCGAGUCCUCCCGGGCCCGCCA
rnacentral:tRNA from 4 species